AUGCUCCUGCUGCUCGUCCCAGCGUUCCAGGUGAUUUUUACCCUGGGUGACAUUGAUGUUGCAGGAGGAACCAGAGCCCAGUCUGUGACCCAGCUUGACAGCCAAGUCCCUGUCUUUGAAGAAGCCCCUGUGGAGCUGAGGUGCAACUACUCAUCGUCUGUUUCAGUGUAUCUCUUCUGGUAUGUGCAAUACCCCAACCAAGGGCUCCAGCUUCUCCUGAAGUAUUUAUCAGGAUCCACCCUGGUUAAAGGCAUCAACGGUUUUGAGGCUGAAUUUAAGAACAGUGAAACUUCCUUCCACUUGAGGAAACCCUCAGUCCAUAUAAGCGACGUGGCUGAGUACUUCUGUGCUGUGAGUGACACAGUGCCUGAGACUGCAGGAGAGCUGAACACAAACCUCCUGAGAUGCUGA